rnacentral:rRNA from 1 species
GCGAGUGAAGAGGAAGAGCUCAAAGUUGGAACCUGUUUGGCCUAGCUAAACCGGAUUGUAGACUGUAGAAGUGUUUUCCAGGCAAGCCGAGUAAAUAAGUCCUUUGGAACAGGGCAUCAUAGAGGGUGAGAAUCCCGUCUUUGGCUUGAGCAUUUGCCUUUUGUGAUACGCUUUCAAAGAGUCAGGUUGUUUGGGAAUGCAGCCUAAAUUGGGUGGUAAAUCUCACCUAAAGCUAAAUAUUGGCGAGAAACCGAUAGCGAACAAGUACCGUGAGGGAAAGAUGAAAAGAACUUUGAAAAGAGAGUUAAACAGUAUGUGAAAUUGUUAAAAGGGAACCGUUUGGAGCCAGACUGGCUUGUCUGUAAUCAAUCUAGGCUUCGGCCUGGAUGCACUUGCAGGCUAUGCCUGCCAACGACAAUUUGACUUGAGGGAAAAAACUAGGGGAAAUGUGGCCCACUUGUGGGUGUUAUAGUCCCUUAGAAAAUACCUUGGGUUGGAUUGAGGAACGCAGCGAAUGCUUAUUGGCGAGUUUUCCAGGAAGGUUUUCUGAGGUACUACGGUAUCAAGGUUGAUCUUUUUGGUUAUACUUCUAUUCGCUUAGGUUGUUGGCU